rnacentral:rRNA from 1 species
UAUGUAGGGGGCUAGCGUUGUCCGGAUUUAUUGGGCGUAAAGAGCGUGUAGGCGGCCAGGUAGGUCUGGUGUGAAAACUCGAGGCUUAACCUCGAGAUGUCAUCGGAAACCAUCUGGCUAGAGUCCGGAAGAGGAGAGUGGAAUUCCUGGUGUAGCGGUGAGAUGCGCAGAUAUCAGGAGGAACACCGAUGGCGAAGGCAGGUCUCUGGGCCACUACUGACGCUGAGAAGCGAAAGCAUGGGGAGCGAACAGG